GAAAUAUAAGAAUUUUUCUCUUAACUUUUAACUAAAAAAAGUUAAGAACCGGUUCUUAAGUAAGAGUUUUAAGAGCCGAUUCUUAACUUUUUUUAGUUAAAAAGUUAAGAGACAGGUUAUUAUAUUUC
rfam:Brassica napus, WGS project CCCW01000000 data, contig: 17192